rnacentral:rRNA from 1 species
UGGGGAAUAUUGCACAAUGGGGGGAACCCUGAUGCAGCCAUGCCGCGUGAAUGAAGAAGGCCUUCGGGUUGUAAAGUUCUUUCGGUGACGAGGAAGGUUGAUAGGUUAAUAGCCUAUCAAAUUGACGUUAAUCACAGAAGAAGCACCGGCUAACUCCGUGCCAGCAGCCGCGGUAAUGCGGGGGGUGCGAGCGUUAAUCGGAAUAACUGGGCGUAAAGGGCACGCAGGCGGUGACUUAAGUGAGAUGUGAAAGCCCCGAGCUUAACUUGGGAAUUGCAUUUCAUACUGGGUCGCUAGAGUACUUUAGGGAGGGGUAGAAUUCCACGUGUAGCGGUGAAAUGCGUAGAGAUGUGGAGGAAUACCGAAGGCGAAGGCAGCCCCUUGGGAAUGUACUGACGCUCAUGUGCGAAAGCGUGGGGAGCAAACAGGAUUAGAUACCCUGGUAGUCCACGCUGUAAACGAUGUCGAUUUGGGGAUUGGGCUUUGAGCUUGGUGCCCGUAGCUAACGUGAUAAAUCGACCGCCUGGGGAGUACGNANCGCAAGGUUA